UAGCCUUGUGGUUAAGGCUAUGGAUCGCCAAUCCGGAGAUGGCGGGUUCGAUUCCCGU
rnacentral:tRNA from 1 species